UGAUUAUAUAGCUUCAUGGUUGUUUGAGUAGUUUUGUUCUAUGAUUAACUCAUUUGAACAUUCUGGAUUUAUAGUUUUAACGGUUAAUUGAUUUGUGAUGUGCAUUUGUUUAUUCAUGUUUAGGAAUGACUUUUUAUUGCAGAACAAAAAUACUAUUCAAAACUAGAUAGCGACAUGAACUUGUUGGGUUUAUCAUUCUAUAUGAUGACUUCAUGCUAUCAAUCUUUCUUUUGCCAUUGCCAACUUCGCAAUUGUUGAGUUUUCAUCAUUUUAUAUCGAGACUAAUACUCCAGUCAUUCAUAUUUGAGUUAGUAAUGUUCCAUCAGUUUCUGUUCUUCAUUGAAAUGCCAAUGUUUGUGUAAGAGAGACAAGAAGUUGUCAUCGAAAAGGUUGUUCGAAAUAAACACAAAUGUGUCACAAUUGUGAAAGGCCUUGAACUCUUUGGUAUUUGCACUUGACAUUCUUACCUCCUAUUGCACAUGGUAUCAUAAAGGCCGAGGCCCCUCACUUACAUUAAGGUUCUUCUUAAGACAUGAAACGUGCUCGUUCUAAACGCACGACUAGGCUACCGAUAAGCCUUAUGAUUGGUGGCAUCAAUCAGCCUCAGCUACCCGAGACUGAUGUGGGUCCCUCUCAGCCUCAGUUGCCCCAGCCUAUAGCGGGUCCCUCCCAGCAUUAGCCUUCCCCGACUACAUCGGGUCCAGUCCAGCCUUUGUUGCCCAAGUCUACAGCGGGUCCUUCUCAUCCCCAGCUUCCCCUGCCUAUGGCAAGUCUCUCCCAGAGUUUGCCUCAGGAUCCACACCAGACAGUUGAUUCAUUAGAGGAUACUUCUAGUGAUUUGUUGUUCACGAAGAGGAGUCGAGGCCCCACACGAUGCCAUCAAGUUUGGAACAUGCGUGAAGGGCAACGCAUUUUUAUUACCACCAACAAUCUAGGGCAACCUGUUAAUGAAAAUGUUAGCAAGCUGACAAACUUUUUGGGGACAAUAACACGUAAUGGGGAUUACGCACCCCUUACAUAUUCUAAUUGGAGGGUAGUGCCAAACGAGAAGAAGGAUAAUAUGUACGAAC